rnacentral:SRP_RNA from 11 species
CUGUGCAGCAACCGAGGCGGGCAAGCGAGCAGGCAAAAACUGCGCCGCUCGGCUGGAUGGCUGGGUAUCGCA